GUGCGUGGGUGCUCCCCGUCAGCUUGUGCUGGCGUGGCCCCGUCGGUAAGCGCCUGGGCAUUGCCUCAGGCCCGCUUCGGGCUCGCCGGGGGCUUCUCUCGGGCCCCCCUUCGGGCCUGCUUGGGGCCCACCUCGUUUCAGGCCUAGCUGGUGCUUCCCCCCCCCAACCCGCCAGGCUGUGCGUAACGCCCCUCUCUCCUCAUCCCCCGCUUCCCCACAUGCCCUCCUGGCAGAAGCCCUGGGGAGGUCGUGGCGGGGGUCUCCGGGAGGCUCAGUGCCUCAGCGAGGCUGGGGUGCGCGCAGCCCUCGCUGCACCUCAAAACCCUCAGACCGCCUACGUAAAGAGCGUGUUUUUCUCCUUCGAUUGGCGGUUUUCGCAAGGUGUGUGUGCUCUUCGAGUUCUCGCUGCCCUGGCCGUGUCCUUUGUUGCAAGUGGUUCCUGACAACCAGGUUGUCUUCCAGUUCUUCAAAUGUUACCUUCCAUGACGAGAUCAUUCCAACCAAUACUUUUCAAGAUCUAGUACUUAGAAGUCACAUCGCUGGACUAAUAUGGUAUCUAAGUGGAUAGGUAAGUGCUGCAGCUUUGCUGCUUUUCUUGGUAACAUACUGUGAAUUAUUUAUGCCAACUCUUUGUUGUCCCGGAGGCUUUGAUGAAGGGAGAAAAAUGCCUGAGUAUGCAGCUUCACUUAUAGACCACAGUAAAAUGGUUUCUAAAACAGAUGUGUCAGCAGGUAGUAGAGUUGGUUACAAGCUGUUGUAAGGAUAGGCUGACCACCUACAUGGAUGUCAUGUAUUAGCUGAAAUUGCAGCAAGAGAAAAUUUGCUGGAUCCUAUCAUAGAGGAUCUGUUAUUACCUGGGUAUAAUAAGUAUAUUUUUCUCUCUCUUAGAUCUCUGUGAAUCUGGUGUUAUAUUGGCAGUAUAGCUUGGGAA
rnacentral:lncRNA from 1 species